rnacentral:misc_RNA from 1 species
GUGGUGGUACUGCAAGGAUUAAGGACGAUACCCUGUACCUGGAGAAGGAUCACUCAUGUGGCGACAUGAGUGAUGAGUACCUUAUUUUGCAGGCCAAGGCACGGAUGAAAUUUCGAGCUGGGCAAACUACCGAACCGCUGAGGGACAUUUGGAACUCUGUCCUUAGCCAGUCGACUGAGGCCGUGAAGAAAAACCUCAAGUUCGAGGCUGCCGAGUCCAUCAUGAGGAAUAAGCGGAGGAAGAACCUGCCUCCGAUUCCCAAGAAUCUGGCAGAAAUGAAGAAAGCUCUCGACAAUGGACAUUCGUUCAAAGACAUCUACCAAGGUUUCGUCGAAUUCGAAGAUGGGAAGGUCGGAUUCAUUUUUGCAGACCCAAAACUUCUCGCUCUCGUUGAAAAGACUCAAGAACUCUUCGUCGAUGCCACCUUUAAAACACGGCCUCACCACGAUAUCUUUUCUCAACUGUUGAACAUCAUUGUCAUCUACAAAGAUUACUCUGUCGCGGUGAUGCAUGUCUUAAUGACAUGCAAGGAGCAAGCACUCUACGGCCAGAUCAUGGAGCGGUUCAAAGCUUUGGUUGGAUCAGACUUCAAGCCAAAAAGUGUGAUGUCGGACUACGAACGGGCUAUCCUGAACACCAUGCAAACUGCCUUUCCGGAAUCGAGAGUGUCUGGAUGCAGAUUUCACUUCAGCCAAGCAGGUAAAUAAUAUUUUAACCAUUUAAUUGAUUUUUAACACGUUAUUUAUCUUUGUUAUUUACUUCUUUUUAGUUCUCCGGAAAGUGUGUGCUUGCAACAAGGAGGAUUUCUAUAAAAAUGUUGAGUUUAGGAAUCUGAUGCUCAAACACAUGGCCCUAAGCACUCUACCGGCGAACCAAAUGGUACCGGUAUUUCAACAGCUGAAGCAAGAUGUGCUCCACUUACAACCACUCAGGCUCCGGAAGCAAGUCCAGAUAAUGCACAGGAAUUACUUCUUAAAGUGGUGGUUCCAAGGCAUCGGGCCCCAGCUGAUCUCUACGUACGGUCUUGCACAUAAGACCAACAACGUCUGCGAAAGUCUCCAUAAGAAAAUGUCUUUGAAGCUGGCAAAGGCGUCGACAAUCUGGAGAUUCCUUUCAGAUCUGAGGAUGUUCGUCAUCGAGCCAGCGAAGAUCGAUGUCCUACAGUUGGACAAUAACAUCAGGAUCCGGAGGAACAUCAAAAUAUCGAACCAGGUAGCGGCCAGAACUGUGAAGAAUCAGGAGGAGCGACUGGCCAAUGGGGAAAUCACCCCCAUUCAACACCUCCAUUUUAUGGCCCACAGAGUGCCCACUCCGGUUCUUCCGAAUGAAAAAGAUCAGGAUGAGGCCGAUGCAAAGCUGGCAGCAGAAAUGGCCGCCGAUGGCUACGCCGAUGAUGAGGAUGGCGACGACGAAGUCUUUGACGAACACGGAGAUGAUGACGCAUUCCUGGCAGCCGCAGGGCCACAGGCAGAUAGACAACAGCAACCGGGUCACGCCGCCGCAUAUCUCCGCCGCAGGUCCAGCAGCAGAACCGUCUUGCAUUUGCAUGGCGAGCCCCAAGGACACAAUACUACUGCCGUGCGGGCAUGUCUGCGUGUGUUCAACAUGUGCAGCCCUUCUCGAAGCCCAAGGACUUGACGAUGAACCCGAGGGCGUCUAUUUGUGCCCCGUAUGUAGGACACGGGUUACUUCACGACAUCGGCUGUUCUACGCCUGAAAAAAUUGACUGGAAAUGGCUUUCUAUUUCCUAUUAUUUUUACAAAAAAUUGACUGGAAAUGGCUUUCUAUUUACUAUUAUUCUACUUUCAUUUUUCAUGUAUUUUUCUUAUAAAUUGACUAA